GAUGAACGCUGGCGGCGUGCUUAACACAUGCAAGUCGAACGAAGCAUUUGCGACAGAUUUUUUCGGAAUGAAGUUGCUUAUGACUGAGUGGCGGACGGGUGAGUAACGCGUGGGUAACCUGCCUUGUACUGGGGGAUAGCAGCUGGAAACGGCUGGUAAUACCGCAUAAGCGCACAAUGUUGCAUGACAUGGUGUGAAAAACUCCGGUGGUAUAAGAUGGACCCGCGUCUGAUUAGCUAGUUGGUGAGAUAACAGCCCACCAAGGCGACGAUCAGUAGCCGACCUGAGAGGGUGACCGGCCACAUUGGGACUGAGACACGGCCCAGACUCCUACGGGAGGCAGCAGCGGGGAAUAUUGCACAAUGGAGGAAACUCUGAUGCAGCGACGCCGCGUGAGUGAAGAAGUAAUUCGUUAUGUAAAGCUCUAUCAGCAGAGAAGAUAGUGACGGUACCUGACUAAGAAGCUCCGGCUAAAUACGUG
rnacentral:rRNA from 1 species